GCUGGGCGUGGUGGUGCACGUCUGUAAUCCCAGCAGCUUGGGAGGCUGAGACAGGAGGAUUGGGAGUUCAAAGCCAGCCUUAGCAAAAGCAAGGCACUAAGCAACUCAGUGAGACCCUCUCUCUA
rnacentral:sRNA from 1 species